GUGGGCCUGACAUCUUGGGCACUUUCCAGGUUCUUGGGAGGAAGGGAGAAAAGAAGCAGAGAGAGAGAAGAAAUAUCUACUAUUUUUAUAUACGGUGUAUUCCUCUCAUAUCUUAAAGAAAAGCUUUAUGUAGAAAAAAAGAUUCAUGACGCAGCUUAUGUAAGAAUAAACUUGUGGAAUGGAAUUAGUUGCAGGGAGGAGGUCUGAUUUCGUUCAGUUCUCACAGUGAUCUAGUGUCUGACUUUUCUAGGGAAUCCAAUCAAUAAAAUUGAAGACUGGCUGCAGGAUUGCGGAUACUCUGAAGAAGGAUUUUCUGAGGAAGUGGGACAGUUUAUCUACAAUGGCUUCUGCAGCCAUGGGACCAGCUUUGAAGAUGACUUGACCCUGGGAGCAGAGGCCGCACUACUGGCCGCCAAUGGCAAACUCUUCUCCAGGAGUUUCCUCGAGACAGCCAGGCCUUGCCAGCUACUUGAUCUUGGCUGUAGUUUGGCUUCCAGCAGCAUGACUGGGGGGACCAACAAGACUAGUUCAAGCAUCUCAGAAAUUCUGGACAAAGUGCAAGAAGAUGCAGAAGAUGUCCUCUUCAGUCUGGGCUUUGGCCAAGAGGAUCACAAAGACACUUCUCGGAUACCCGCCCGAUUUUUCACCACCCCCUCUCAGGCCAAGGGCAUUGAUUUCCAGCUCUUCCUGAAGUCCCAGGUGCGGAGGAUUGAAAUGGAAGACCCCUGCCUCAUGCUGGCCAGCAGGUUUAAGCAGGUGCAAACACUGGCUGUCACUGCUGAUGCCUUCUUCUGUCUCUACUCCUAUGUGUCUAAGACACCUGUCCAAAAGUUCACACCAUCCCACAUGUUCUGGAAUUGCAACCAUCCAACUGAUGUGCCCUCCAUCAGGAUUCUGUCCCGAGAACCUGAACCCCAGUCACCCAGAGACCGCCUUCGGAAAGCCAUCUCCAAGAUGUGUCUGUACACAUGCCCCCGAGACCGGCCACCACCACCCCACAACACCCCCAAAAGGAACAGUUUGGACCAAGUUGUGUUGGAAGUGAUGGACAAAGUGAAAGAAGAGAAGCAGUUCCUCCAGCAAGACUCUGAUUUGGGGCAAUUCUCACAGGAAGAUCCUGUGCCCCCUGUUGAGGGUAAAAAGUUGCCCACUUCUCCCUAUCCAUGUGUCCUCUGCUGCAAAGAGGAAACACAGCAAAGGAUGUCCACAGUGCUAGCACCAUCCCAAACUCUGGAUUCGAAACCCAAGGUACCCUGUUGCACACAUUCUCUGCCCAUAGAAGAUCCACAGUGGAGCACAGACCCAGCUCAGAUAAGGAGAGAGCUGUGUAGUCUACCAGCCACCAAUACGGAAACCCAUCCAGCCAAGGAUGAGACUUUCUGGAAAAGAAAGAGCAGAGCAAGAAAGAGCCUCUUCCAGAAGAAUCUCAUGGGCAGGAAGGUUAAGUCCUUGGACCUGUCCAUCACCCAGCAGAAAUGGAAGCAGAGUGUAGACAGACCAGAACUGCGUCGGUCUUUAAGCCAGCAGCCACAGGACACUUUUGACUUGGAGGAGGUGCAAAGCAACAGUGAGGAGGAGCAGAGUCAGAGUCGCUGGCCCAGCCGACCCAGGCACCCCCACCACCACCAGACUUUUGCUGGCAAAGACUCGUGAAGAGGCCCUCACCAGAUGCAGGCUUUUGACCUUGGAUUUGCCAGCCUCCAGAAUUGCUUUCUCCACCACCACAACAGCAUGUGGUCUGACAGAAUUGGCUUCAUAGAAGAACCUAAAAGCCACCUCUUGCAGGAAACUGCACUGCCCUCAACAUCCAGCCCCUACUCCUUGGUCCUCCAAACCCCCAAACUCUGCAGGAGAAAGGCAGCAUGGUACAUGGGGAGGAAGACCAGACUGAGCGAUUUGGAAUCCACAUCCUAAUGCUGCCACAAGCUGCAUGCACAAAGACCUUAGGCACAUCACUUCAUUUCUCUCUACACUGGUUUCUCUACUAUGUGUGUAUUAAAAUAUAUAAUGUGGACGAUAGUAAACUGAACAAAGCCUUAAUUUUCUCCCAAGCUUUGACAUUGCCAAGGGCAGUUAGGAGACUUCAGGAUCAAGUGUAGGGGACAAGUUUUUUUCUAAUACUUUCAAAAGGCCCAAGUGAAGAGAGGAAGGACACCUCACUUUCUGGCUCUAAAAGCAUGGUACAUCUCACACUAGGAUUCCCUCUGCACCUCUGUUCAUCCCUGUGUUCCUAACUAAAUUCCAGAAAGUCUUCCACAACACCGGAGUCCUAUUUUUCUUCUUGAGACCUCCUUUGAAGAAAUCAACUUGGAGGCUCCUCCUUAAAUCCAGUUUCUUUCUCUACCCAAAAUUUUGCAUCUUUAUAGAAAAAGAGAUAAGUAGGAUUCAGAGUCUCUUCUCCUAGCCAUUGCGGGGGGAAAAAAUGCUAUUUCUGCUGGCAGAAAACAAUACAAAUAUUUUUUUUAAAUCAUGGCAUGUUUUUAAAGUUAAUUAACAGCUGUAGUUUGCUUUGGAAGUUAAAUGUUUUGUCAAUAAACAGGGCUUGAGCACAUGCAGUGCUCUCUUAGGCAGUAUGUGGUUUCAGAGCAUCUUGGACACAUUUCUCCCCUGAGAAAAUAUUAGCAUUAAUAGAAUGGGAGAAGUCAGAUGCACGCAUUUCCAGAAGUAUAUUAUUUGGCUGCCUAAUAAAUUGUGAGACCAAAAAAAAACAAAACAAAACAGGAAGAGAGGGACUUGAGGGAAUUUGAGGGAAAUCAUAACCAAAAA